rnacentral:misc_RNA from 1 species
AGGAAGAAGGAUUUCCACGUCCUGUUCAACUCAACUUGUGCGAGUACAUAUGAUCCUCGAUCGUCCGACAUUAUCCCAUGUGAAGUUCUCGAGAACGCCAAAGAUAUAAAAAGUAGUGUGAAACCAGAGGAAUAGAAAAACUAUUGACCAAGACUAGGACUGAAAUUAGGAUAUCAACUUUUAGGCUGAGGAAGACUAAGGAGCGCACAGCAUGGAAAAAUUUGAACUCUGUGGAAACCGGCAUCCCCAUGAAUUUUUGAAAGAGUCAUGUGGUUAACUGGUGUACAAUCUGGUUUGGCAGGAAUUGACCUCAUGUCAAACC